rnacentral:rRNA from 1 species
GACGAACGCUGGCGGCGUGCUUAACACAUGCAAGUCGAACGAUGAAGCAGAGAAACGCGAACUUCGGUUCAAAUUUCACUUCGGAUUAGUGGCAGACGGGUGAGUAACGCGUGAGCAACCUACCUCUUACAAAGGGAUAGCCUCGGGAAACCGUGAUUAAUACCAUAUGACACAUUCAUAAGGCAUCUUAAGAAUGUUAAAGCUACGGCGGUAAGAGAUGGGCUCGCGUCCCAUUAGCUAGUUGGUGAGGUAACGGCCCACCAAGGCGACGAUGGGUAACCGGCCUGAGAGGGUGAACGGUCACAUUGGAACUGAGACACGGUCCAAACUCCUACGGGAGGCAGCAGUGGGGAAUAUUGCACAAUGGAGGGAACUCGGAUGCAGCGACGCCGCGUGAGCGAUGAAGGAAUUCGUUUCGUAAAGCUCUGUUCUAUGGGAAGAAAAGGACUGUACCAUAGGAGAAAGCCCCGGCUAAAUACGUGC